rnacentral:rRNA from 1 species
UACGUGAGGCGCAAGCGUUAUCCGGAAUUAUUGGGCGUAAAGAGCUCGUAGGCGGUUUGUCGCGUCUGCCGUGAAAGUCCGGGGCUCAACCUCCGGAUCUGCGGUGGGUACGGGCAGACUAGAGUGAUGUAGGGGAGACUGGAAUUCCUGGUGUAGCGGUGAAAUGCGCAGAUAUCAGGAGGAACACCGAUGGCGAAGGCAGGUCUCUGGGCAUUAACUGACGCUGAGGAGCGAAAGCAUGGGGAGCGAACAGG